UGAAUUGCCUUGAUACUGUUCUGCAGAUGGGUAUUAUGUUGGGUGGUGUUUUGGUCAAAGUUUGUAGAAGAAGCUGCGGAAGAUGAAUACAUGGUCUGGUAAGUCUUGAUUCCCCCCUUCCUUUUCCUGCAAAAUCAUACAUAUAUUUAUUUUGUAUAUGAUCAGGGUCAAACAUGUUUGAUGCUUGCACGUUCCUUAUGAAUAACCCAAAUGCAUGCACGAUGAUUAUAUUAAGGGUUUGGUGUUUAGUAUUAACAAAUCAAUUGGCAUUUGGUUGAUUUAGUUUUUUUCCCAAAUGAUAAGA
rnacentral:lncRNA from 1 species